UAAAUGGCCAUCUUCCUUUUAAAAUCAAUUUAUCACCAAUUUAAUUUCCUAUUUUUGUAACACAUGCAGUUGACAUUUCUAUAGGAACCAACUACUGUUAACCAACUUAUUUUGUGGACCUUUGAAUUGUGUUGUCAUUUCUAUCAUAUUUCGCAGCUGAUAUUUUUUUUUUUUCGUGUAUCGCCGAUUCUAUUAUAUUUCACUUAAGAUUUUUUUUUCAUGUAAAUAUAAGAAAGACGAUGAGGUAUGAUUGCCAAUAAGACUUUACUCUUCUAAAGAGACUUAAUGACUCAAAAAAUUAACAGCUUAAGGUAACUGUACGACCGUCAACGAUGAGCAAACCCCAAACCGCAUUGUCAUCCAUAAAAGGCCACAAAAUCACAUAUGCAAAACAAUUCAAACGAAAAAACUGAUAUUUUUUUGUGUAUCUCCAUUUCUAUCAUAUGUCACUUAGAAAUUUUUUUUGCCAUAUAUAUAUAUAGAAGAUAUGGUAUGAUUGCCAAUGAGACAACUCUCCACAAGUGACUAAAUAACACAGAAAUUAAUAACUAUAGGUAACUGUAUGGCCCUCAAUGAUGAGCAAAGCCCGAACUGCAUAGCUAUUUAGGCACAGAAAUCACAUAUGUAAAACAAUUCAAACCACAAAACUUACGACCAUACAGACAUUUCUAUCAUAUUUCUCAGCUGAUAUUUUUUUCUCAUAUUGCCAUUUCUAUCAUAUUUCACGAGACUUUUUCUGCUUUUUAUAUUAAAAAAAAAAAAGAUGUGGUAUGAUUGCCAAUGAGACAACUCUCCACAAGAAACUCAAUGACACAGAAAUUAACAGCUAUAUGUAACUGUACGGCCCUCAAUGAUGAGCAAAAACCAAAGUGCAUAAUCAGCUUUGAUAGGCCCAGAAAUCACAAAUGUAAAACAAUUCAAACGAACACACUUAAGGACCAUUUAGCCAUUUUUAGCAUUUUUGGAUAAAUAUCGUGAUUAUCUAAUUUUUCGGAUUAUUUCGCAAUUCUAUUUUGAAAUACUCGUGAUUUAUAUUCGGCUUACUAUUUUUCUUUGAAGUCUUCUUAAUAAAUUGUCCAAAAAAUGAGUUGGUUCACAGUAUGCUCCUCUUCUAGUCUUGGUCAUCCCCCUGUAGCAGUCUCAAUAAUCCUUUAUUCCCCGCCCCUGCUGAGUCAAAGUUAGAGACUUCAAAAUUGGUAUUGCUAUUCGUUUACUACCCAAAGAAACCUAAAGAGAAAGAGCAAAGACAAGUUGGCUUUGAAAAAGACUAGAUGAAUCUUCAUCCUAUCUAGUAACUGUUCCAAAAAUGACUCGGCAUAUGUUUUAAAUGAUAUAUGUGGGGUAAUUAACGUCAAUGAGACAGCAACUUACCAAAUUUGGCCAAGACACAUAAUAACUAAGUUAACAUACUGUCUUCAACAAUACAAAUAUGGAGAUCUGAUAUGAUUGCCAAUAAGACAAACUCUUCAUCAAAUCCACAUGUCAGAGAUUGAUGCAGGGUCUUUAAUAAUGGAGCAAUGACCUAACAUAUCAUAUUCAAAUCACAUUUACAUAUAAACAUCAGAUGUGGUAUGAUUGCCAUUGGUACAAGUAUGUUGCUGGUGUUAGAUAUCCAUCCUAUUGUCCAUCUUUACAUAUGAAGUAGACUUGAUUUAGGUGCUUCUUAGGGAAAACAGAGGAUCUUGCAUUGUACUUUUACUUCACAAUCCCCAAUUUAGG
rnacentral:lncRNA from 1 species